rnacentral:tRNA from 1 species
GAGGGUAUAGCUCAAGUGGUAGAGUGCAUGCUUAGCAUGCACGAGGUCCUGGGUUCAAUCCCCAGUACCUCA